GAUGAACGCUGGCGGCGUGCCUAAUACAUGCAAGUCGAGCGAACAGACGAGGAGCUUGCUCCUCUGACGUUAGCGGCGGACGGGUGAGUAACACGUGGAUAACCUACCUAUAAGACUGGGAUAACUUCGGGAAACCGGAGCUAAUACCGGAUAACAUGUUGAACCGCAUGGUUCAACAGUGAAAGACGGUUUUGCUGUCACUUAUAGAUGGAUCCGCGUCGCAUUAGCUAGUUGGUAAGGUAACGGCUUACCAAGGCAACGAUGCGUAGCCGACCUGAGAGGGUGAUCGGCCACACUGGAACUGAGACACGGUCCAGACUCCUACGGGAGGCAGCAGUAGGGAAUCUUUCGCAAUGGGCGAAAGCCUGACGGAGCAACGCCGCGUGAGUGAAGAAGGUCUUCGGAUCGUAAAACUCUGUUAUUAGGGAAGAACAAAUGUGUAAGUAACUAUGCACGUCUUGACGGUACCUAAUCAGAAAGCCACGGCUAACUACGUG
rnacentral:rRNA from 1 species